rnacentral:lncRNA from 1 species
AAAGGCCGGCAACUCCAAUCAACUACAUCAUAGCAAAAUGUUGAUAGGAUUGGCAUCGCAGUUUCAUGUAGAUCAGGUGUUUUAUGUAAAUGGACAGAAAGUUACAGGAUAAAAAGUCACGAUUAAUGCAUUUGUAAUUUGUGAAUAAACAUGUAUAAGAGAUAGUUCUUAAAACAUUUAUUUUUAAAUACAUAUAUUCAUUUAUAGUGUAAAAAAUUGUUCAUAAGCC